AAAGUUAGAUUUUAGCCAAUACUAAUUUCCUUUUGUUUGUGAUGACAAUGUAAAUCAAUAAAUUUCUCCUGAAAUUUUUAGUAGUAUGUGUAAAAAAUGUCAUUUUAUUGUAUUUUUCCUAAACAAAUGCCACAAAGAAAAACACUUUACUUUCCUCUAUCUAAUGUUUGUGCAGUACGUGUGACUGAAAUGGUUAUCCAUUGUAGAUUUUGUGUCAUGCUAUCUAACGCAACCCUCGCAAUUGCAUUGACCAGGUACGACAUUAACAUUAAGCUGAUUUGUGUCAUUCUAUUAUUUUGGUGUCUAUUUUGCAUUGUUAUGAGAAAUCAUAGAACUUAAGUACUUGCCCCCCCCCC
rnacentral:lncRNA from 1 species